rnacentral:rRNA from 1 species
AAACCCGCACGCCGGAAGACCAAGGGUUCCUGCGCAACGCUAAUCGGCGCAGGGUGAGUCGGCCCCUAAGGCGAGGCAGAGAUGCGUAGCUGAUGGGAAACAGGUCAAUAUUCCUGUACCGAUCAAUAGUGCGAUGUGGGGACGGAGAAGGUUAGCUCAGCCAACUGUUGGAUAUGUUGGUUCAAGCCUGUAGUCGUGCCUGGUAGGCAAAUCCGCCGGGCUUAGAUGAGGGGUGAUAACGAGUCUGCUUGCAGACGAAGUGAGUGAUACCCUGCUUCCAGGAAAAGCCACUAAGCUUCAGCUAUUGACGACCGUACCGCAAACCGACACUGGUGCGCGAGAUGAGUAUUCUAAGGCGCUUGAGAGAACUCGGGAGAAGGAACUCGGCAAACUGGUACCGUAACUUCGGGAUAAGG